rnacentral:rRNA from 1 species
AUUGAACGCUGGCGGCAAGCCUAACACAUGCAAGUCGAACGAGUGGCGGACGGGUGCGUAAUGUCUGGGAAACUGCCUGAUGGAGGGGGAUAACUACUGGAAACUGUAGCUAAUACCGCAUACUAUCGGAUGUGCACAGAUGGGAUUAGCUAGUAGGGGGGGUAAAGGCUCACCAGGGCGACGAUCCCUAGCUGGUCUGUGAGGAUGACCAGCCACACUGGAACGGAGAAACGGUCCAGAGUCCUACGGGAGGCAGCAGUGGGGAAUAUUGCACAAUGGGCGCAAGCCUGAUGCAGCCAUGCCGCGUGGAUGAAGAAGGCCUGCGGGGUGUAAAGUACUUUCAGCGGGGAGGCGUUACCCGCAGAAGAAGCACCGGCUAACUCCGUGCCAGCCGCCGCGGUAAUUC